CAACGAAGAUGGCGACCGGCGCACGGGUGAGUAACACGUAUCCAACCUGCCUCAUACUCGGGGAUAGCCUUUCGAAAGAAAGAUUAAUAUCCGAUAGCAUAUAUUUCCCGCAUGGGUUUUAUAUUAAAGAAAUUCGGUAUGAGAUGGGGAUGCGUUCCAUUAGUUUGUUGGGGGGUAACGGCCCACCAAGACUACGAUGGAUAGGGGUUCUGAGAGGAAGGUCCCCCACAUUGGAACUGAGACACGGUCCAA
rnacentral:rRNA from 1 species